GGGAAUGUGGCUUAAUGGUAGAGUGCUUGCCUACCAUUCAUGAAGCCCAGGUUCAAUUCCUCAGUACCA
rnacentral:tRNA from 1 species